UGAACAAUACAGUCACAACAUCAACAGCGUUAGUUACGCAUUUACAUUCAAUAAAUCGUGGACGUCAAAAUAGAAAAUUCCGUUAAAGAUUUUAACUUUAAAGUCGUGAAUUCACUAUUCUUUUUACUUGACGAAAUGCGUUCACAGGUGCACAUCGAACGGAAGUCUUCGCAAGAGAUGCCGUGGAUGAAUGCAUAAACGACGACAACGACAGUGUGACUAGGCUACGAGCCCGCCACUGGAGCCCGCUCGCAUUUGAACAAUACAGUCACAACAUCAACAGCGUGCACAUCGAACGGAAGUCUUCGCAAGAGAUGCCGUGGAUGAAUGCAUAAACGACGACAACGACAGUGUGACUAGGCUACGAGCCCGCCACUGGAGCCCGCUCGCAUUUGAACAAUACAGUCACAACAUCAACAGCGUGCACAUCGAACGGAAGUCUUCGCAAGAGAUGCCGUGGAUGAAUGCGUGAACGACGACAACGACAGUGUGACGAGCCUACGAGCCCGCCACUGGAGCCCGCUCGCAUUUGAACAAUACAGUCACAACAUCAACAGUGCUAGUUACGCAUUUACAUUCAAUAAAUCGUGGACGUCAAAAUAGAAAAUUUCGUUAAAGAUUUUAACAUUAAAGUCGUGAAUUCACUAUUCUUUUUACCUAACGAAGUGCGUUCGCAGGUGCACACCGAACAGAAAUCUUCGCAAGAGAUGCCGUGGAUGAAUGCGUGAACGACGACAACGACAGUGUGACGAGCCUACGAGCCCGCCCACUGAUCUCUAUGUAUAAAGGCUGGAUCGCGUAUGGGAGAGGGGCUCGUGGGAGAGAGGCACGCAUUCGGGCCGCCAUGUUGGUGGGCCCUAAAACGCUGCGUGUGCCCAUUGGAAACAAUGGGAGGCAACAGAGAUUGUGAGUAUUUAUUGCGCUACAGGUGUUGAUCAUUGUUUGUCGUCACGCGAUUUUGUAAGGUGCCAGUAUACUAAUGUAUCAUAACA